CCUACGGGAGGCAGCAGUGAGGAAUAUUGGUCAAUGGCCGCAAGGCUGAACCAGCCAAGUCGCGUGAGGGAUGAAGGCCCUAUGGAUUGUAGACCUCUUUUGCCAGGGAACAAAGGGCGCCACGUGUGGCGCUUUGCGAGUACCUGAAGAAAAAGCAUCGGCUAACUCCGGGCCAGCAGCCGCGGUAAUACGGAGGAUGCGAGCGUUAUCCGGAUUUAUUGGGUUUAAAGGGUGCGCAGGCGGAGUGUCAAGUCGGCGGUAAAAUUUCGGGGCUCAACCCCGUCGUGCCGUUGAAACUGGCGUUCUUGAGUGCGCCAGAGGGAUGCGGAAUGCGUGGUGUAGCGGUGAAAUGCAUAGAUAUCGCGCAGAACUCCGAUUGCGAAGGCAGCAUACCGUCGCUCAACUGACGCUGAUGCACGAAAGCGUGGGGAUCGAACAGGAUUAGAUACCCUAGUAGUC
rnacentral:rRNA from 1 species